rnacentral:lncRNA from 1 species
UUGGGUUUAUAAUUUAGUCAUUUUGAAAAAGGUGUAUUAUUGAAAAUAGACAACAAGAAAGGGUAUUUUACAAAUAUCUCUUUAUAGAUCUUGUCUUGUUAUUUUCAAAAAAAAAAUUAACCUAACGUAUUCAACUUUUCAAAAAAAAAGUUAUCUUUUUUCGUCGAAUCAUUUACAUUGAUAUCAAAAAGUGUUGUUAAUAAUAAUGGUUUUCCAAAUUUUGUUUGGAUCUUGUUAAAACCAUCGGUUGAAACUUUUCUG